rnacentral:rRNA from 1 species
GACGAACGCUGGCGGCGUGCUUAACACAUGCAAGUCGAACGGAAAGGCCCUGCUUUUGUGGGGUGCUCGAGUGGCGAACGGGUGAGUAACACGUGAGUAACCUGCCCUUGACCUUGGGAUAACUUCAGGAAACUGGGGCUAAUACCGGAUAGGAGCUCCUGCUGCAUGGUGGGGGUUGGAAAGUUUCGGCGGUUGGGGAUGGACUCGCGGCUUAUCAGCUUGUUGGUGGGGUAGUGGCUUACCAAGGCUUUGACGGGUAGCCGGGCUGAGAGGGUCACCGGCCACACUGGGACUGAGAUACGGCCCAGACUCCUACGGGAGGCAGCAGUGGGGAAUAUUGCACAAUGGGCGGAAGCCUGAUGCAGCAACGCCGCGUGGGGGAUGACGGCCUUCGGGUUGUAAACCGCUUUCGCCUGUGACGAAGCGUGAGUGACGGUAAUGGGUAAAGAAGCACCGGCUAACUACGUG